rnacentral:tRNA from 1 species
GGAGCGGUGGCAGAACGGCUAUUGCACUCGCCUCGAAAGCGAGCGUCCGAGAGGACUUGGGGGUUCGAAUCCCUCCCGCUCCG